GAUGAACGCUAGCUACAGGCUUUAACACAUGCAAGUCGAGGGGCGAGCAUUUUUAGUUUUGUCUUGCAAACUAAAGAAUGGCGACCGGCGCACGGGUGAGUAACACGUAUCCAACCUGCCGUCUACUCUUGGACAGCCUUCUGAAAGGAAGAUUAAUACAAGAUGGCAUCAUGAGUCCGCAUGUUCACAUGAUUAAAGGUAUUCCGGUAGACGAUGGGGAUGCGUUCCAUUAGAUAGUAGGCGGGGUAACGGCCCACCUAGUCUUCGAUGGAUAGGGGUUCUGAGAGGAAGGUCCCCCACAUUGGAACUGAGACACGGUCCAAACUCCUACGGGAGGCAGCAGUGAGGAAUAUUGGUCAAUGGGCGAGAGCCUGAACCAGCCAAGUAGCGUGAAGGAUGACUGCCCUAUGGGUUGUAAACUUCUUUUAUAAAGGAAUAAAGUCGGGUAUGGAUACCCG
rnacentral:rRNA from 1 species